rnacentral:misc_RNA from 1 species
GUACUCUCACACUCCCGAUCUUUGGAUCGGGAGCGGUGGACUUGGGUGUUGCUGCUUUCCUGUGGCUCACCUCAAAUGGAGUAGUGCAACUCUUGGUUGGACAUAGUACGGCGUGAUAAGUGUCUUCGCCGGCGCCUCACUUUGUGGAGGGUGGCCGAUCGGGAGCUCUGUUGCUUCAAACUGUCUUCGGACAAUCUUCUGGCG